UAUUUGAUAUUCCUUUGGGAGAUUACGUUUCGGCCGUAAUUUUGGGAAAGUUUUCUCUAUCAAAGGU
rnacentral:tRNA from 1 species